AUUUUCAGAUUUUAGAGAGAGAGAAAGGAUAGUUAGAGAGAGAAAGGAGAGGAUCCAACAAGUUGAAGGCCUCAAAUCCCAAGGCUCGUGAAGGAUAAAGUGUAGUACAAGUUCUUGCCGUCGUUCUAAGCUACAAAUCAAACUUUGGAAGUUGAUUUCGUGGUGGAUGCUCACAAAAGAUCAAAGUUGAAAGGGGUGACGAACAUUGUAUUACGCUCAAAGGCUGGAAUUAAGGUAACGAUACACAGGUUGACGACUCAGCUAAUUAGGAGUGCACAUAUCAGCUAUUGGUGAGCCCCACAUUCAUUCGGGGCGUUGUCAGCUAUCCAGUUAUUUCAGUUUAUAGACAGCUCUAUUAUUCAGUACUCUUAGAGGCUUCAUAGACACAGUUCAGACAGUCAGAUAUUUAUUAUGUUAGCCUUGUUGGCAGUCGUUCAGUUGUUUGGAUUAGCCAUGUUGGCUAAUUUCAUAUAUGUUCAGAUUGCUUAAGUAUUUCCGCAUUAUGAUAUUUCAGUGAGACUUUCAGUUGAUCAGCAUGUGUUAGUUUUAUUCUAUAAAUUAGUUAUGUUUUGGUAUCACAUGUUGAUUCAGCAGCCAGUUGGUUCGCUCGGUCACAUGCAGUCAGGC